rnacentral:rRNA from 1 species
CAAGUCGACGAACUCUUCGGAGUUAGUGGCGGACGGGUGAGUAACACGUGGGAACGUGCCUUUAGGUUCGGAAUAACUCAGGGAAACUUGUGCUAAUACCGAAUGUGCCCUUCGGGGGAAAGAUUUAUCGCCUUUAGAGCGGCCCGCGUCUGAUUAGCUAGUUGGUGAGGUAAAGGCUCACCAAGGCGACGAUCAGUAGCUGGUCUGAGAGGAUGAUCAGCCACAUUGGGACUGAGACACGGCCCAAACUCCUACGGGAGGCAGCAGUGGGGAAUCUUGCGCAAUGGGCGAAAGCCUGACGCAGCCAUGCCGCGUGAAUGAUGAAGGUCUUAGGAUUGUAAAAUUCUUUCACCGGGGACGAUAAUGACGGUACCCGGAGAAGAAGCCCCGGCUAACUUCGUGCCAGCAGCCGCGGUAAUACGAAGGGGGCUAGCGUUGCUCGGAAUUACUGGGCGUAAAGGGAGCGUAGGCGGACAUCUAAGUCAGGGGUGAAAUCCCGGGGCUCAACCUCGGAAUUGCCUUUGAUACUGGGUGUCUUGAGUAUGAGAGAGGUGUGUGGAACUCCGAGUGUAGAGGUGAAAUUCGUAGAUAUUCGGAAGAACACCAGUGGCGAAGGCGACACACUGGCUCAUUACUGACGCUGAGGCUCGAAAGCGUGGGGAGCAAACAGGAUUAGAUACCCUGGUAGUCCACGCCGUAAACGAUGAUUGCUAGUUGUCGGGAUGCAUGCAUUUCGGUGACGCAGCUAACGCAUUAAGCAAUCCGCCUGGGGAGUACGGUCGCAAGAUUAAAACUCAAAGGAAUUGACGGG